GGGGGUGUAGCUCAGUGGGAGAGCACCUGCUUUGCAAGCAGGGGGUCGGCGGUUCGAAUCCGCUCACCUCCA
rnacentral:tRNA from 1 species